CUUGCACCUGAAGACGUUGCUGCUAUGUCACAUGUUUGUCAGUAGGUGACAGAGAGGAGACAGGCUACGUCUGUGUUCAGUGUUCUGACCUAUAGACAUCUAACAUUUCCUGAAAAA
ensembl:snoRNA LOC120094010 small nucleolar RNA SNORA17